rnacentral:lncRNA from 9 species
GGCAAUGAGAAAUCACUAUUAUGAUUCAGGAAAUGGUUGAAGAGGGAUUUUUAAUUCCCCAUUAAGUCCUUUUAUUGGUCUUGUAUGGCCAGUGUACAAAACAGAUGGCUCCAGGAGUUUGACAAUAGACUACCAGAAUUAACAAUAUGAUUCCUUAAAUUGGUUCAGCUGUACUUGAUAUGGGGUAGGCUCCACAGGAAGGACAACAAGCCAAGGGGACAGCAAGUCACAAGGCUAAUUCCUUUAUUUCUAUACAAAUUUGGAUUCCAUCCAAAGAGAUCAUAAAUUGCAUUCAUUCUGAAGGAUUUUGGAGAAGAGAUUAAGUCUGGCUGAGCAUAGCAGUGAAAAUCAAAGGGCAAAAGAGAAAAGUAACUCUUCAAAAGAUUGGAAAAAAAAACCUUCAUGGAAAAGCAUACACUUGAGGGCUGUUUUUCAUGAAUGUGUAAUAGGUAAGUACUUUUUUGAUAAAAAUUAUUGAAAUCAGAAGACCUUAUGGCUUAUUAAGAUUUCUUUGGUUAACUCACAC